rnacentral:rRNA from 1 species
CCUACGGGUGGCAGCAGUGGGGGAUAUUGCACAAUGGGGGGAACCCUGAUGCAGCGACGCCGCGUGGGUGAAGAAGCGCCUCGGCGCGUAAAGCCCUGUCAGCAGGGAAGAAAAUGACGGUACCUGAAGAAGAAGCCCCGGCUAACUACGUGCCAGGAGCCGCGGUAAUACGUAGGGGGCAAGCGUUAGCCGGAUUUACUGGGUGUAAAGGGGGCGCAGACGGCGAUGCAAGCCAGGAGUGAAAGCCCGGGGCUCAACCCCGGGACUGCUCUUGGAACUGCGUGGCUGGAGUGCAGGAGGGGCAGGCGGAAUUCCUGGUGUAGCAGUGAAAUGCGUAGAUAUCAGGAGGAACACCGGUGGCGAAGGCGGCCUGCUGGACUGCAACUGACGUUGAGGCCCGAAAGCGUGGGGAGCAAACAGGAUUAGAUACCCCUGUAGUC